rnacentral:tRNA from 1 species
ACCAGGCUUGCUCAAUCAGUAGAGCGUCUGACUCUUGAUCUCAGGGUCGUGAGUUCAAGCCCCAUGUUGGGUG